rnacentral:rRNA from 1 species
AGUGAACGCUGGCGGUAGGCCUAACACAUGCAAGUCGAACGGCAGCACAGUAAGAGCUUGCUCUUACGGGUGGCGAGUGGCGGACGGGUGAGGAAUACAUCGGAAUCUACUUUUUCGUGGGGGAUAACGUAGGGAAACUUACGCUAAUACCGCAUACGACCUACGGGUGAAAGCAGGGGAUCUUCGGACCUUUCGCGAUUGAAUGAGCCGGUGUCGGAUUAGCUAGUUGGCGGGGUAAGGGCCCACCAAGGCGACGAUCCGUAGCGGGUCUGAGAGGAUGAUCAGCCACACUGGAACUGAGACACGGUCCAGACUCCUACGGGAGGCAGCAGUGGGGAAUAUUGGACAAUGGGCGCAAGCCUGAUCCAGCCAUACCGCGUGGGUGAAGAAGGCCUUCGGGUUGUAAAGCCCUGUUGUUGGGAAAGAAAAGCAGCAGGUUAAUACCUCGCUGUUCUGACGGUACCCAAAGAAUAAGCACCGGCUAACUUCGUG